rnacentral:rRNA from 1 species
AUUGAACGCUGGCGGCAGGCCUAACACAUGCAAGUCGACCGAGUGGGGACGGGUGAGUAACACGUGGGUAACCUCCCAUCAGAGGGGAUAACACUGGGAAACCGGUGCUAAACCGCAUACUGUUAGAUGGGACCACGGGGCAGUAGCUAGUUGGUGAGGUAACGGCUCACCAAGGCCACGAUGCAGAGCCGACCUGAUAGGGUGAUCGGCAACACGGGGACUGAGACACGGCCCAGACUCCUACGGGAGGCAGCAGGAGGGAAUCUUCGGCAAUGGGCGAAAGUCUGAUCGAGCAACGCCGCGUGAGUGAAGAAGGUUUUCGGAUCGUAAAACUCUGUUGUUAGAGAAGCGGUAUCUAACCAGAAAGCCACGGCUAACUACGUGCCAGCAGCCGCGGUAAUAC